UAGCGAAGCUGCCUACAUACUGUCGAAUUAUGCACACGAUACACAGAAAUAAACUGCCACGGAUGGCAGUUCGUGGAGAAUCGCGCCACGGACGGCGCGUUGCGACGGUUGCGCCGGGAAUAGAUACCCGAUAAAGCAUAAUUCCUACAGUAUCUAGGUCGUGCAGCGU
ncrna:unclassified sequences TwoGGAY RNA